GGCCGGUUGGCCCAAUGGCAAGGCGUCUGACUACGAUUCCAUAAAAAGAUUCGUGAAAUCAGGAGAUUCUGGGUUCGACCCCCAGGCUGGUCA
rfam:Colletotrichum sublineola strain TX430BB Scaffolds1025.1, whole genome shotgun sequence.